GAUCAUUACAGAGUUGCAAAACUCCCUAAACCAUUGUGAACGUUACCUAUACCGUUGCUUCGGCGGGCGGCCCCGGGGUUUACCCCCCGGGCGCCCCUGGGCCCCACCGCGGGCGCCCGCCGGAGGUCACCAAACUCUUGAUAAUUUAUGGCCUCUCUGAGUCUUCUGUACUGAAUAAGUCAAAACUUUCAACAACGGAUCUCUUGGUUCUGGCAUCGAUGAAGAACGCAGCGAAAUGCGAUAAGUAAUGUGAAUUGCAGAAUUCAGUGAAUCAUCGAAUCUUUGAACGCACAUUGCGCCCGCCAGCAUUCUGGCGGGCAUGCCUGUUCGAGCGUCAUUUCAACCAUCAAGCCCCCGGGCUUGUGUUGGGGACCUGCGGCUGCCGCAGGCCCUGAAAAGCAGUGGCGGGCUCGCUGUCGCACCGAGCGUAGUAGCAUACAUCUCGCUCUGGUCGCGCCGCGGGUUCCGGCCGUUAAACCACCUUUUAACCCAAGGUUGACCUCGGAUCAGGUAGGAAGACCCGCUGAACUUAA
rnacentral:rRNA from 1 species